UAUAACGUUGCUCGAGCAUAUUAUGUCCGCUGAGACGCGACGUUGUUAAUUAUCGUCAUGCAUUCUUACUGUGAACGUUGUUACGUGUUCAGGUUCGCCGCAACGUGCUGGACGUGUCCUACCACGUCUCACAGUACCAGACAAUCAUCACUGAGCUUAAGGACGAAAUUGAUCGACUCAAGAGUAAACUGGAUGAGAGUGUCCCUGAGCAGAGCACAGCAGGUAUGAACAGCCAAGAAGUGGAACAGGAGAGGCAGAAGAAUGCUGAGAAAAUGAGGAAACUUAAAAAUGAUCUUCUAGACUAUUUCAGAGAGCAGAUGUCACUCAGAAAUAAGCUGAUGGACAUUGACAGUAACAUACUAGCGUUAUCGAUGGAGUUUGAGCGUCAGAACCUGGUUGUGACGGAGUGGGAGACGGAGAGGGCCCAGCGGUCUAAGGGGCGCUCUGAACCCAUUAAGGGGCCUGACGGUGAGAUAUAAUUGACAUGGACACCGAUAAAGAGAGAGAUGACGAGAGUGACGAGGACGAGCCGGAGGAGGUGACUCAGGCCUGGGAGGACCUGAUGUACCUGCAGAAGGAACAGCAGAGGUACACUGACAUGAGGGAGAAGGUCGAGCAAGAGAUGACAGAGGUCAGGAAACGAGCCAAUGACAUGG